rnacentral:rRNA from 1 species
AUUGAACGCUGGCGGCAUGCUUUACACAUGCAAGUCGAACGGUAACAGGCCUUCGGGUGCUGACGAGUGGCGAACGGGUGAGUAAUGCAUCGGAACGUACCCAGAGGUGGGGGAUAACGCAGCGAAAGCUGUGCUAAUACCGCAUGUGAUCUGAGGAUGAAAGCGGGGGACCGAGCAGCAAUGUUUGGCCUCGCGCCUUUGGAGCGGCCGAUGUCGGAUUAGCUAGUUGGUGGGGUAAAGGCCUACCAAGGCGACGAUCCGUAGCUGGUCUGAGAGGCCGACCAGCCACACUGGGACUGAGACACGGCCCAGACUCCUACAGGAGGCAGCAGUGGGGAAUUUUGGACAAUGGGCGCAAGCCUGAUCCAGCAAUGCCGCGUGCGGGAAGAAGGCCUUCGGGUUGUAAACCGCUUUUGGCAGGAACGAAACGGUGUCCGCUAAUACCGGGCGCUAAUGACGGUACCUGCAGAAUAAGCACCGGCUAACUACGUG